AACGCUCCUCACCUAGCCCCUGUCCUGAGGGUGCUCCUAACCCUAGAGCCAGCUUUAAAGGGGCAGGCCCCUUCUCCUGCCCCAGCCCCACCCACCGGGCCCCCAUUCUCCGUCUUCCAGGCCCAGCGCUCCCUUACAGAACUCCCCCGCACCUUGUCUCGCUCGCUCCGCCCCUCCUUCCCAGCCACAGCUGGAGGUCCUGGGCGCACCUGCAGAGCCGGCGGCUUGCUGGGGGCAUGCGCUCCAUGAAGGCUCUGCAGAAGGCCCUGAGCCGGGCCGGCAGUCACUGCGGGCGAGGAGGCUGGGGUCACCUGAGCCGGAGCCCCCUCCUUGGCGGGGGCGUCCGGCACCACCUCAGUGAGGCCGCGGCGCAGGGCAGAGAGACGCCACACAGCCACCAGCCGCAGCACCAGGAUCAUGAUUCAUCAGAAAGUGGCAUGCUGUCCCGCCUGGGUGAUUUGCUCUUUUACACUAUUGCUGAAGGACAGGAACGAAUCCCUAUCCACAAGUUCACCACUGCACUAAAGGCCACUGGACUGCAGACAUCAGAUCCUCGGCUCCGAGACUGCAUGAGCGAGAUGCACCGCGUGGUCCAAGAGUCCAGUAGUGGUGGCCUCUUGGACCGAGAUCUCUUCCGAAAGUGUGUGAGCAGCAACAUUGUGCUCCUGACCCAGGCAUUCCGAAAGAAGUUUGUCAUUCCUGAUUUUGAGGAGUUCACGGGCCAUGUGGAUCGCAUCUUUGAGGAUGCCAAAGAGCUCACUGGAGGCAAAGUGACAGCCUACAUCCCUCAGCUGGCCAAGUCAAACCCAGACCUGUGGGGUGUCUCCCUGUGCACUGUGGAUGGUCAGCGGCACUCUGUGGGCCACACAAAGAUCCCCUUCUGCCUGCAGUCCUGUGUGAAGCCCCUCACCUAUGCCAUCUCCAUAAGCACCCUAGGCACUGACUACGUGCACAAGUUUGUGGGCAAAGAGCCAAGUGGCCUGCGCUACAACAAGCUCUCCCUCAAUGAGGAAGGAAUCCCCCAUAACCCCAUGGUCAAUGCUGGUGCCAUUGUUGUCAGCUCCCUGAUCAAGAUGGACUGUAACAAAGCAGAGAAGUUUGAUUUUGUAAGUUCUCUUGCUACUUAGCCCCUGGCUGCAUUUCUCCAUGGCAUGCUGUCCUCUCCAGCUGCCCCAGUGGCUCUCUAACCAGGUGCACCAGCCCAUACUAGAAGCCUUAUUU
rnacentral:sRNA from 1 species